ACGGGAGGCAGCAGUAGGGAAUUUUCGGCAAUGGGGGAAACCCUGACCGAGCAAUGCCGCGUGAACGAUGAAGUAUUUCGGUAUGUAAAGUUCUUUUUUAUGGGAAGAUGAUGACGGUACCAUAAGAAUAAGCUCCGGCUAACUACGUGCCAGCAGCCGCGGUAAUACGUAGGGAGCGAGCGUUAUCCGGAAUUAUUGGGCGUAAAGGGUGCGUAGAUGGCAACAAAAGUCUUAUGUAAAAAUGCUGGGCUCAACCCAGUAGAGCAAUAGAUACUUUGUAGCUAGAGUAUGGAAGAGGCAAGUGGAACUCCAUGUGUAGCGGUAAAAUGCGUAAAUAUAUGGAAGAACACCAGUGGCGAAGGCGGCUUGCUAGUCCGAUACUGACAUUGAGGCACGAAAGCGUGGGGAGCAAACAGGAUUAGAUACCCUGGUA
rnacentral:rRNA from 1 species